AAGAGCACUUGAUGGAUGCCUUGGCGUUAAGAGGCGAUGAAGGACGUGGCAGGCUGCGAUAAGCUGUGGGGAAUUGUCAACAAAUUUUGAUCCGCAGAUUUCCGAAUGGGGAAACCCAGCUAGCUUAGCUAGUUAUUACAUACUAAGUAUGU
rnacentral:rRNA from 1 species